GGCAGACGGGUGAGUAACAUGUAGGUAUCUUCCCUUUGGCCUGGAAUAACACGAGGAAACUUGUGCUAAUACUGGAUAAGUCUUUACGGAGAAAGCUUUAUGCACCAUUGGAUGAGCCUGCACUUGAUUAGUUUGUUGGUGGGGUAAUGGCCUACCAAGACUGUGAUCAAUAGCUGGUAUGAGAGGAUGAUCAGCCACAUUGGGACUGAGACACGGCCCAAACUCCUACGGGAGGCAGCAGUGGGGAAUCUUGCACAAUGGAGGAAACCCUGAUGCAGCGAUGCCGCGUGAGUGAAGAAGGCCCUUGGGUUGUAAAGCUCUUUCGUCGGGGAAGAAAAUGACUGUACCCGAAUAAGAAGGUCCGGCUAACUUCGUGCCAGCAGCCGCGGUAAUACGAAGGGACCUAGCGUAGUUCGGAAUUACUGGGCUUAAAGAGUUCGUAGGUGGUUGAAAAAGUUGGUGGUGAAAUCCCAGAGCUUAACUCUGGAACUGCCAUCAAAACUUUUCAGCUAGAGUUUGAUAGAGGAAAGCAGAAUUUCUAGUGUAGAGGUGAAAUUCGUAGAUAUUAGAAAGAAUACCAAUUGCGAAGGCAGCUUUCUGGAUCAUUACUGACACUGAGGAACGAAAGCAUGGGUAGCGAAGAGGAUUAGAUACCCUCGUAGUCCAUGCCGUAAACGAUGUGUGUUAGACGUUGGAAAUUUAUUUUCAGUGUCGCAGCGAAAGCGAUAAA
rnacentral:rRNA from 1 species